rnacentral:rRNA from 1 species
AGACUCUGGUGUUGCACCUGCUUUGAGCAUGUGCAGUACCGUAGGAAAACUGUUAAGUCUGCCGCCUGGGGAGUACGGUCGCAAGAUUGAAACUUAAAGCAAUUGGCGGGGGAGCACAACAAGGGGUGGAUGCUACGGUUUAAUUGAAUUCAACGUCGGGAACAUUACCUGGAGCGACGGCAGGAUGAAGGUCAGGCUAAAGACCUUACCAGACAAGCCGAGAGGUGGUGCAUGGCGAUCGUCAGUUCGUGGUGUGAACUGUCAGGUUAAGUCCUGUAACGAACGAGACCCUCGUUGACAGUUGCCAAAAGCCCAGCGAUGGGCUGAGCACUCUGUCGAGACCGCCUUUGUUUAAAUAGGAGGAAGGAGAGGGCAACGGUACGUCAGUAUGCCCCGAAUCUCCAGGGCUACACGCGGCAUACAGAGGUUGGUACAAUGGGUCGCAACCUCGAAAGAGGAAGCUAAUCCCCUAAAACCAACCAAAGUUCGGAUUGAGGGCUGAAACUCGCCCUCAUGAAGCUGGAAUCCCUAGUAAUCGCUUGUCACAAUCGAGCGGUGAAUAUGUCCCCGCUCCUUGCACACACCGCCCG